UACGUAGGGUGCGAGCGUUAAUCGGAAUUACUGGGCGUAAAGCGUGCGCAGGCGGUUUUGUAAGCCAGAUGUGAAAUCACCGGGCUUAACCUGGGAAUGGCAUUUGGGACUGCAAGGCUCGAGUGCGGCAGAGGAGACUGGAAUUCCUGGUGUAGCAGUGAAAUGCGUAGAUAUCAGGAGGAACACCGGUGGCGAAGGCGGUUCUCUGGGCCUUACCUGACGCUGAGGAGCGAAAGCAUGGGGAGCAAACAGG
rnacentral:rRNA from 1 species